GUGCAGCAGGCGCGAAAACUUCACAAUGUGCGAAAGCACGAUGAGGGAAUCCCAAGUGCUUGCUCGUAAGAGUAAGCUGUUUCUCUGUCUAAAACGCAGAGAGAGUAAGGGCUGGGUAAGACGGGUGCCAGCCGCCGCGGUAAUACCUGCAGCUCGAGUGGUGGCCGCUAUUAUUGGGCCUAAAACGUCCGUAGCCGGUUUAUUAAAUGCCUGGGUAAAUCGGACCGCUUAACGGUUCGAAUUCCGGGUAGACUGAUAAACUUGAGACCGGGAGAAGCUAGAGGUACUCCUGGGGUAGAGGUGAAAUUCUGUAAUCCUAGGGGACCACCAGUGGCGAAGGCGUCUAGCUAGAACGGGUCUGACGGUGAGGGACGAAGCCCUGGGGCGCAAACGGGGAUUAGAUACCCCUGUAG
rnacentral:rRNA from 1 species